rnacentral:rRNA from 1 species
UCCCGGUGAAACUGCGAAUGGCUCAUUAAAUCAGUUAUCGUUUAUUUGAUAAUACCUUACUACUUGGAUAACCGUGGUAAUUCUAGAGCUAAUACAUGCUAAAAAUCCCGACUUCGGAAGGGAUGUGUUUAUUAGAUAAAAAACCAAUGCCCUUCGGGGCUUCUUGGUGAUUCAUGAUAACUUUACGGAUCGCAUAGCCUUGCGCUGGCGACGGUUCAUUCAAAUUUCUGCCCUAUCAACUUUCGAUGGUAAGGUAUUGGCUUACCAUGGUUUCAACGGGUAACGGGGAAUUAGGGUUCGAUUCCGGAGAGGGAGCCUGAGAAACGGCUACCACAUCCAAGGAAGGCAGCAGGCGCGCAAAUUACCCAAUCCCGACACGGGGAGGUAGUGACAAUAAAUACUGAUACAGGGCUCUUUUGGGUCUUGUAAUUGGAAUGAGUACAAUUUAAACCUCUUAACGAGGAACAAUUGGAGGGCAAGUCUGGUGCCAGCAGCCGCGGUAAUUCCAGCUCCAAUAGCGUAUAUUAAAGUUGUUGCAGUUAAAAAGCUCGUAGUUGAAACUUGGGCCUGGCUGGCGGGUCCGCCUCACCGCGUGCACUCGUCCGGCCGGGCCUUCCUUCUGAAGAACCUCAUGCCCUUCACUGGGCGUGUUGGGGAAUCAGGACUUUUACUUUGAAAAAAUUAGAGUGUUCAAAGCAGGCCUUUGCUCGAAUACGUUAGCAUGGAAUAAUAAAAUAGGGCGUGCGUUUCUAUUUUGUUGGUUUCUAGAGACGCCGCAAUGAUUAACAGGAACAGUCGGGGGCAUCAGUAUUCAGUUGUCAGAGGUGAAAUUCUUGGAUUUACUGAAGACUAACUACUGCGAAAGCAUUUGCCAAGGAUGUUUUCAUUAAUCAGUGAACGAAAGUCAGGGAUCGAAGACGAUCAGAUACCGUCGUAGUCUUGACCGUAAACUAUGCCGACUACGGGAUCGGGGCGAUGAU